GGGCUUGUACUGGUUUCGACAGGCCGGCUGAAGAUGGAGAAGCUAUCCGUGGACUGUGACCACGUUAAAACGCAGAAAAAAAUAAACGCUGAAGACAAUUUAGCAUACGCAGCCUAAUGGCUGCUGUCUGACUUAGGGCACCUACACCUUAAGACCCAGGCAUCAAUGAUGUAGGAAACGACGUAUAUUAAGCUUUGCGUAUACGGGCGUAUCAUGAAGCUACUAAAACCUGCAGGAUGUUCAUUUUCGUCAGGCGGAGGGAAUGUCAAAGAAUGAACUAUGAUAGUAGAAGUACAUGGGAUUCCGGUUUGGACGCGGGUUCGAUUCCCGCCAGGUCCAUUA
rnacentral:tmRNA from 1 species